rnacentral:tRNA from 1 species
AAAUAUGAAACAAUUAAUUGUAUUUAAUUUCGACUUAAACGUAUGAAUAUCUUAUUCCAUAUUUA